rnacentral:ncRNA from 2 species
UUUUCAUCAAGAGUGGUGGAGGGACUGGCCCGACGAAGCCCGGCAACCGGAACAUAGUGUUCUUGGUGCUAAAUCCUGCAGAAUCCGCAAGGUUCUGAGAGAUGAAUG